CACUGGUUGAGAGCUGGUGCCGGUCUCCUGACGAGUCCAAGGCAGGACUAAACCAGUG
rnacentral:hammerhead_ribozyme from 1 species